UAUUCUACCUCAGAGGAGCGGAGGUAUCUGAGGAGCGGCAAAGAUGAGGACCAUCGGUAAAGUUAGCCUUCAUGAAGGAUAUAAUGGGGGGCCUGAUGCUUAAUUUUCUUGGCUUCUUUCAAGUCAGCUGGUACAACUCCAUCCUUCAAAAAGUGGAUGAAUGGAUCAAUCCAGCUAGAUUCUUCAUCAAUUUGUAAUGCAA
rnacentral:lncRNA from 1 species